UGACUCUAGUCAUUCAACACCCAAAAUCAAGUCAUAACUGAGGAUAUUUAAGAGAAUAAAUGAACCAAUUAGUGUGUAAUCUUGUAGGCUUAUGGUGACAUUGUGGGCUCUUAUUGUGGCAUGGAAUUUUUUGUGGGAAGCUGUAGUGAAAGGAAAUGGGCUGAUAUGCUUAAUAUCUAAACCCAAUUGUUGUGCAAUGUCCAAGCUCAACAAGUUGCAUGCAGCGCCCUAAUCGAUAAGAACUCAGAUAGUGGUGGA
rnacentral:lncRNA from 1 species